rnacentral:rRNA from 1 species
UACGAAGGGUGCAAGCGUUAAUCGGAAUUACUGGGCGUAAAGCGCGCGUAGGUGGUUUGUUAAGUCGGAUGUGAAAUCCCCGGGCUCAACCUGGGAACUGCAUCCGAAACUGGCAAGCUAGAGUAUGGUAGAGGGUAGUGGAAUUUCCUGUGUAGCGGUGAAAUGCGUAGAUAUAGGAAGGAACACCAGUGGCGAAGGCGACUACCUGGACUGAUACUGACACUGAGGUGCGAAAGCGUGGGGAGCAAACAGG